rnacentral:rRNA from 1 species
CGGACGGGUGAGUAUCGCGUAGGGAUUUAUCGUUGGUGGGGGAGUAACCUUGGGAAACUGGGGCUAAUACCGCAUGACGCCUUUGGGCCAAAGGUCUUUUGGGACUGCCUGAUGAGGAGCCUGCGUCCGAUUAGUUAGUUGGUUGGGUAAUGGCUGACCAAGGCAUCGAUCGGUAGCUGGUCUGAGAGGAUGAUCAGCCACACUGGGACUGAGACACGGCCCAG